rnacentral:rRNA from 1 species
GUAAACCCAAGGUUUCCAGGGGAAGGUUCGUCCGCCCUGGGUUAGUCGGGACCUAAGCUGAGGCCGAAAGGCGUAGGUGAUGGACAACAGGUUGAUAUUCCUGUACUACCGAUAACCGUUUGAGAGAUGGGAUGACACAGUAGGAUAAGCUAAGCACACUGUUGGUUAUGUGUGCCCAAGCAUUGAGGCAGUCAAAGUAGGCAAAUCCGC